rnacentral:rRNA from 1 species
UGCCAGCAGCCGCGGUAAUACGAAGGGGGCUAGCGUUGUUCGGAAUUACUGGGCGUAAAGCGCACGUAGGCGGAUCAGAAAGUAAGGGGUGAAAUCCCGAGGCUCAACCUCGGAACUGCCUCUUAAACUCCUGGUCUUGAGUUCGAGAGAGGUGAGUGGAAUUCCAAGUGUAGAGGUGAAAUUCGUAGAUAUUUGGAGGAACACCAGUGGCGAAGGCGGCUAACUGGCUCGGUACUGACGCUGAGAUGCGAAAGCGUGGGGAGCAAACAGGAUUAGAUA